GGGGCCGACUUGGCUUCGACGGGAGAGCGUAGCGUUAGGUAGCAUGUCGGCGCGGAAACAGCCGUUAAACUUUCCAAAACAGAUAAACGCAAACAACGCGAAUUAUCGUCCCGCUUACGCUCUAGCGGCGUAAUGGACAGGCUCUUAAGUUUCGCCGCGCGAUUUAAGACGCCUUCAACAACUAGCGGCUUUGACGCGGGAAUUAGCGAUCUCGCGCCGAGAUUAGCUUGCGUUUUUUGAGGGGUUUGCCCGCUUGGCGCUUCAAAGGACAAAGACAAUCAACGGGAUCUAAGCAUGUAGAAGCCUAAGGUUUAGCUCUUUUGGACAGGGGUUCGAUCCCCCUCGGCUCCACCA
rnacentral:tmRNA from 1 species